GUGCCAGCCGCCGCGGUAAUACCGGCAGCCCGAGCGAUGGCCGAUCUUAUUGGGCCUAAAGCGUCCGGAGGUGGCCGCACAAGUCCAUCGGAAAAUCCACCCGCCCAACGGGUGGGCGUCCGGUGGAAACUGAGUGGCUUGGGACCGGAAGGCGCGACGGGUACGUCCGGGGUAGGAGUGAAAUCCUGAAAUCCUGGAAGGACCGCCGAUGGCGAAAGCACGUCCCGAGGACGGAUCCGACAGUGAGGGACGAAAGCCAGGGUCUCGAACCGGAUUAGAAACCCCCGUAGUCC
rnacentral:rRNA from 1 species